rnacentral:rRNA from 1 species
UACAGAGGUGGCAAGCGUUGUUCGGAAUCACUGGGCUUAAAGCGCGUGUAGGCGGACCGGAAAGUGUCGUGUGAAAGCCCCUGGCUCAACCAGGGAACUGCGCGGCAAACUCCCGGACUUGAGGCUGGUAGAGGUGCCUGGAACUCUCGGUGGAGCGGUGAAAUGCGUAGAUAUCGAGAGGAACGCCGGAGGCGAAAGCGGGGCACUGGGCCAGAUCUGACGCUGAGACGCGAAAGCGUGGGGAGCAAACAGG